UCGAUCGAUGGUGACCACUGGUGACAUAUAAGUUAUGUGAUGAAUAUGUGUCUGGAACUCUGAGGUCCAU
ensembl:snoRNA